CCCACCUCUGCCGGCUCGUCCUCGGCUCCCCCGCCUCGCCGCAGAGCUGGCCCAGGAAGCCCACAUUGGCGGCCACGGAGCAGGGUCCCUUACCCCCACCAGCUGUAGCUGAACGUCUGGAUGGUGGAGAAGAGCAGAUGAUCUGUACUGGACACACGUGGAGAUAUGGCCAUGCCACGCAUGUGCAAACAGAGGUGUACACACAGGAGUGCAGUGAUACAGGACACAGAUAAACAGAAUGUAUACAGCCUUCAGGAAGGAUCUCAAGGUCAGGGUUCUGAGUCUGAGGAAGACAUAACCUUGUGCCUGCCUGCCCACCUCUCUCUCUGGUCCUGUUCAUCUCUCAGGCUCUGAGACACUGACCUUCACUGCUCAGUUAAAGGUUCCAGGGAUUCCACUUUCUCUGGACCCAUCCAGCUGAGUACACCCAGGGUGGUGUUGUAUCCGGGGAGAGUGAGGAGUGGGUUGUCCAAACACCAGGGAAAGAGCCCUUUGGGGCCUCAGACAGAGGAGUGAAGCUGGAACCAUCAGGGAACAUGAGUGAAUUUUGGCACAAACUGGGCUGCUGUGUGGUAGAGAAACCCCAGCCGAAGAAGAAGAGAAGACGGAUUGACCGGACCAUGAUUGGGGAACCAAUGAAUUUUGUCCACCUGACUCACAUUGGCUCAGGGGAGAUGGGGGCCGGAGAUGGACUUGCCAUGACAGGUGCAGUUCAGGAGCAGAUGAGAUCCAAGGGAAACCGAGAUAGGCCAUGGAGCAAUUCUAGGGGCUUAUAGCUCCAAUAAUGGAAUGGUUCUACCAUCUUGAAACCCCCAUUGUUUCCAGCCAAGAAGAAAUGCUGCCCCUACCAGAUCCCUCCUUGAACCAGUGAUCUAAGGACCCCUUUUUCCCUAUCUGCCUAACAGUGCCUCACAAGGCUUGGGGGCUGGACUCCCUCUACUCCCUCUGGCUACAGCCCCUCCUGGAGAUGGGGUCAAGGCAGCAGGACUGAUCAAGUGACUACUGGUUAGCCAGAGGAGCUCAGCUGAAGCCCUGGAAACCCUCAGAUCUGAGAUAGGAGUUCUCUAGGAACCUGGAAUGAGUUCCUUUCUCCUGAAUGAUGGUCUGGGUGCCACCUGUUUUUAAACUCUUAACCUGGAACUCCUUAAAUGGGGUAGGUGGGCGAGAUUA
rnacentral:sRNA from 1 species